GCCUCGGCGGUGUAGUGGUUCAGCACGCUUUCCCGGAGAGAGAAACUCGAGUUCGAUUCUCGCCUAAGGCU